rnacentral:rRNA from 1 species
AAUGAACGCUGGCGGCGCGCCUAAUACAUGCAAGUCGAGCGAGAAGACGUAGCAAUACGUUUGUAAAGCGGCGAACGGGUGAGGAAUACAUGGGUAACCUACCCUCGAGUGGGGAAUAACUAGCCGAAAGGUUAGCUAAUACCGCGUACGCUUCUUGGACUUCGGUUCAGGGAGGAAAGCGAUGCCGAGGGUAUCGCGCUCUUGGAUGGGCUCAUGUCCUAUCAGCUUGNGGUGAGGUAACGGCUCACCAAGGCUUCGACGGGUAGCUGGUCUGAGAGGACGAUCAGCCACACUGGCACUGCGACACGGGCCAGACUCCUACGGGAGGCAGCAGUAAGGAAUAUUGCGCAAUGGGCGAAAAGCCUGACGCAGCGACGCCGCGUGGGGGAUGAAGGUCUUCGGAUUGUAAACUCCUGUUGCUCGGGACGAAAAGCUUCGACCUAACACGUCGAAGUCUGACGGUACCGGGUGAGGAAGCCCCGGCUAACUCUGUGCCAGCA